UAAGUUGGGCCUAUCAGUGUUGAAAGUCCAACAUUAGGUCAUCGUCGGUAUUGGAUGAGACGAGAACAUCAUUCGUACCGGAAAUUCUCCCGUAAUAAGAGUGAAUGGAGAAGAGGAUCACCCUGGUUCAAACCGUUGCCACCGCCGGCGUCUUCUCCGCCAUUUCCUUCUGGUAUGGAUUCAUGUUUGGCAGAGAAUCCUCUCGCAAAGAACUCUCUCACCUAAUCGAAGAUCUCCGCCGCGGUAACCCAACUCCUCCUCCCCAUUCUUGAAGCUCUUUGAUCAAUGAAGUAAUUGCACCGUGCAGAGUAGCUUCACUCACUAUGUAUCUUUUCUUGUAUUGGUUUUAGUUUGUUAAUAAUGGUUUCGCUUAGAGCUAUAUAGUAUAGUAACGUGUUCAGAUUUCAUAGUGUACUUUUUCCCUGACAAUUUUGUAACUAGUGUUGAUUUUAGAGGAUGAGAUUGCUUUUCAACUUUGUGAACUUGCAAUUCUCCUGUUUCCUUAUAAUUUGACAACUUAUAUGCCAAAAUUUGGGAGGCAUUUCUCUCUGUAAACAUGUUUAUUUAACUAUGAUUUGACAAGUUUGUUCUGCUCACGUUACACUAUGUGAAUCGUGAUACUAUGAAUUUUACAAAUCUAAAUUAUUUCAUCUUACUUUCGCUUACAGAAGUGGUCCACUGAAAAAAUUUAGGUUUUUUGUUAUGUGCUUUUUUUUCAUUACAUUGUGCAGAUGUUUUCAGAGAUUCAUAAACUUCUAAAGGCCUAUUGCUAGUUGCUACCGAUUCAAUGGGCUAGUGGCUCAGCAUCCUUUUCCUUACAUACCUAAUAAGCAAAAAAGAAAUUUUUAAUUGGAGGGAGUUUGUAAUGCAAAAGUAUAACAAUGGGCCACAAUUAGAGGUGUGUGUCAAGUUCUUAUGACUGGGAAUUGCUUGGUAGCGUUGCUCAAGUUAGUGCCAUUAAAAAUAUCUGUGUUUUCUUGGAGAGUUUUCCAAAAUAGGAUACCAUUAGAAGUUAAUAGGGGAAAACGAGGUGUUUUUUUAACAUGAUAUGGUUUAACGUGUCUUCGGAUGUGGGAUGGAAGAGGAUGUAUCAUACUUAUUUUUCGAAUGUCAUUUAAGUGUUGAAGUAUGGAAUGGUAUUUUGGAUUGGGUGGGUGUAUCCAAUGUAUAUUAAGGGAUUGGAAAAUUUCACUCAAUUCUUUUGGCUUCCUGUUGUGUGUAAUGGAUUUUUUCUACUAAUUGACCAUCAUGUUGAGACCAAUUAUAUCUGGCCGAGUUGCAGAUAUUUUGGAGGGUGCUAAGGCUAUUCUUUUUAUUAUUAUAUGUGGAUGUUAAUGCUAUAAAACUGAUGUGAAUAGUGUUCCUGUCAUCACAACAUAGAAUGAGGUGGAGCAAAAAUUUGGUGCUAUGAAAAAUGUUAUGGAAUGCUGCGGUAUGAAGAGCUGUUGUGCUGUCAGUCAUGGAGGUGAUGCAGUCUUGCUUAGGCGAUUGUUACUUGUUUGGGUUAGAGAAACAAAUUGGACUGGGAUUCUCCAAUUUGUGGUGCUGAAGUUACUCUAACUUUCAACUUCUGCAAAUCAUCAUAUGGAUCUUAAGUUUCAAACGGUGUCAUGUGUUAUACUGCCGCCCAAGUUUACGGUCCAAACAACCAUCGCCAACUCUGCACACCAUCAUCUUGCUCGACUACCUGUCGUUUUUACUCACUCCAAUUUUUCAUGCGUUCUGGCUGUAGACUCUGACCACUAAAAUAUGGAAUGCAACCAACCAUUUAAGAUCAUAAGUUUGGUCAUCACAUUACAACAAAGUCAAGUGCUGGAAAAUAUAUUUUCGUGUGUUGUACAAGGCUUAGGCAUCGUAGAUUAGUAUAUGACUUGACUUUGUUUUCAUCUAAAUGGUCAUUUUGUAGGUUGUAACUUCAAAAUGCAAAAGAUUGGAGAAUAAUCAUGUAUUCAGUGGGUCUGUGAAAUGUAUAUGUUCGUUUGAAUUUAAGAGCAUACACUUGCUUGUAAAUUGAAAAGAAUGGUGAAGAUCUUAUAUGAUGGUGAGAAUAGCUUGUUAAAAGGGGUUUAUUUAUGGCUUUUGAUAAAACAGAUCACAUCACAUAUGGAUAUGUGACGGUGAAGACAUGGGAAGGUAAGUCGAUGACAGUGGUAUGGUUGUAGUUGGGUCGGUGGUCAGAGUAGAAAAUGGUUCUCUAAUGACAGUUUGCUUGGAGCUGUAUGGCGGGGUGAUUUCUUUUGUUUUACUAAGUUAUAAGUUAUUUUUAAAAAACUAAAAGGUAAAGGCAAAUAGCAUAAUAUGAAUCUUAA